CCAGCAUCGAAGCUUGCAGAGGCAGGGAACCACAUGUAAACUGCCUCCUUGGGGAGGCCCUGACCAUUCCUGCUCCCAGGUUGUGGCUAGAUGUUCUUGGGCAGCCUAAGAAAUGUUCAAGGCCAGGUUGGAUGGGGCUCUGAGCAACUUGAUCUAGUGAUGAUGUCCCUGCCCAUGGCAGAGGGGCUGGAGUUAGAUGAUCUUUGAGGUCCCUUGGAGUUAGAUGAUCUUUGAGGUCCCUUCCAAGCCAAACCACUCUGUGAUGCAGAGGUGGCACAAGGCCAAAAGGUUUCCAAAAAAGAAAAGCACCUAUGACUGAAUUAGUUUCCCUUGAUGUGCCCUGGCUCUCCAUAGCUGCUCAGCACAGGGAGUCCUGGGCUGUCUAUACAGCCCUUGCAGGGAGCAGUAGUGAUGGAAGAGGCCUUUAAUCUGCCUUCAUCAGGUGCCCUGUCUGCCAGGCUGGGGCAUGGUGGGUUUGCUGUUGCAUCCUCAUCCUGGCCCCAGGAACAUUAAUUUUUGUUUCGUGCAUGCAGCUGCUUUCUCUCUAUUUCUCUCAGCCUCAGACACCUCCCUGCUUUGCUGACCAGCCACUGUCUUAGACAUUUAUGUGUCUCUGGGCACUGGAGGAACCUGAACACCACGGAGUAUGAGGCAGAAGGUCCUGUGAGAGCGUCAGUGUUGUGUGCUCAGCUGAGUGACAUCAAAAUCCCUCCUUGCAUGUUGUACCCUUUAAAAUGUUAUCCUUAGGAAAACUGGACAAAGCUAAUGUAGUGCUUUUGAGACCUGGUAACAGGCCCUGAUGACAUGAGCAUCCUUGAAAUUCUACUUGAGCUGGGGAUGAGGAGGUGGAUAUUUUUAUUUACUGGCAGCCUGUGACCUGAUCCUGCGAAAGAAUGUUCGCUAAUAGGCCUGAUAUGAGUGGGAUUACUGUCAUUGCUCAGUAAAGAGUGAGCCCACCAGCAGAAUAAACAUUGGCAGGAUCAAGCAGCAGAUGAGUCAUCUUUUCCAAACACAAAAAGACAGAGGGCCAGUAAAUAAACAUGUUAGUUAAAUUAACUAUCACACACAAACUCCAUGUUUAUGUAAAACUACCUCGGGUGGGGGAUAGCCAGCACUGCAUACUAAAAUACUGCUCAGGCUGUGUCCUAAGACAAGUGUCUCCAGCUAACACAUCCCUGUGCAAAGGAUGCCACUGCUGCAACUCUCCCUGGCCAGGGGAAUGCUCAUCCUCAUCCAAACCGUGUGCCAGAUGAGCACCGGCAGAUAAACUAAUUGAGUCCAGCAAGACAAACAUCUGCAGGGUUAACUUCUGGUGUCCUUUGCUUCCUCUAUGACCUGUUUGAAAUCCUGGGGUCGUACUGAGUAGAUUAGUAUCUCUGGUAUCUCUGUAUCAGUAUCUCUGGUGUAAACAUAACACUACUAUAUUUUCCCAUGGGCAUUCAAAUAACUUUAAAGAAUCAGUAUAAAAACAUAGCCAUUAAAUUAAAAAAUAUAUAUAUUUAAGCUGAUAACUAUUCCCUGAGGCUUUAAAACCAUCUUUUUUUUUUUUUUUUUUUAAUUAAAAUUAGGUAGGUAAACAUCUCCUGAGUAAACAGAUCCUACCAGUGCAAGGAUAAAGCACAGCAAGGCAGGAUGCUUUGGCAAUGCACGAACUCUUCUUUGUAGUAGUCUUUUUGGUGGGUUUUUUGUGGACCUCUUCCAGUGACCAAACAGGAAACCUCUGACAGGAUCAUGCAUGUUCAGUUAUACCUCACCAAUGCCAAAGUUUCACCAGCUUUUACAUUUUUCUUGUUAAAUUUUAUGUUACUGCUCCUCACAGGAUGUAUCACUGGCAUCUUUUAAGUAAAGAUCUGAUCACAUCAGCAGUGUCUUUAAAGGUGGGUUGGGUGCCCACCAGAGCAGUGGGUGCACUCCCAGGUACUACAGCCUGGUUACUGCUCUGGGUGUCCUGGGCCUGUUCUCUAGCCUUAUGAGGUCUCUUCCUCCAGCAGGAAGCUGGUGUGCUUAUUUCCAAGAGCUUCUGAUUUAGGAUCAUCCUCAGCAGCAGCAAGGACCUGUUUUUCAGCAAGGCUGAGGAAGCAAAUGUGUUCAGUGCACCUAUUUUCUGUGAAAGUCAGACACAUGUAGGGAUAUACAUAGAUGUGUCCACCACUAGGGAAAACAGAGCUGUUUGGGGAGCUUGGAUGAAUAUGCAAUCACUGUGUAUGAUUUUUGCUUUUCAAAUGAGAGCUAUGUGGUUUGCAUGGAAUUUUGUAGCCUAACGUGUCAACUUCCAAACCCUAAUGGAGCAAUUUUUUGCGGUCCUUUUACCUUGAAGUAGUGGGUUAUCCACAAAUACAAUUUUUUCCCAUUGUAUUUCAUUCUUAGAAGAAAAGUGCAGCUGAUAAUGAUGCUUGUUGAGAUUCUUUCAGCUUUAGAAUUAUUUCAACAGCAUUUUAAAUGAAUUAUGAGACCAAUUUUGGCUGUACUGUCAGCCAUUGGUCCCAUUUUCAUGGCAAUUUUGACAUUAUCUCUAUCUUCUUCAAAGCUCUGCAUGGGCUGGGUGCCAUGUGGUUUGAUGGUGAGCUUUCCCAUUGAAAUCCAUACAAGUCUAGCACACAGGCAAUUUCACAGCAUGGAAAUGAUAUCUCCAAAAAUGUGCAGUGUUGAUAUCUUUUCCUUGGGCAUGGGGCCCACUUGCUGCCUUCUGAGGUGAAAAACACUCCAGUUGCAGCAGUGGCUUUGUGCAACUUAUAUAAAGAGUUGGAGUCUCAGCUGCUGCAAACGUGUAGCUCCUCCGAUUUCUAUUUCCACCUGAUAAAAUUACAGCUCAUUUGUUUGCUUGUUGGUUUCAUUUAAGGUUUGAAUUGUGCUGAUGAGCCUUACAAGAUCCAUUUCCUUCUGUAUCUUCAGUUGGCAUAUCAGUGCUGAGCUGGGUUGAGCUGUGAUGCAGAACUCUUCCUGCUUAAACAGCUGUUGGGUGAAAUCCUGACUGGCAAGGCGAGGAGGCUGAUGGCCUUUGGUGGGGCUCUGAUCUGGCACCUGGUCAUGUGUCCCUCAGACCUCUUACCUGUGCCACAGGAGAACUGACAAGAUAACGAAUGUUUUGGUCUGGGAAUAAAACUACAAUAGAAACACAGCACAAUCAUGGCUCUGAAUUCUUCCUGAUCAUUUAGUAGGACAAAGCAUACCAGAGGAAAGCAAUUGAAAAAUGUUCUUAUUUUGUAAGGCCACUUCAUACCUGUAUAGUUUUCUUCUCCACAUGGUUUGAUUUCAGCAGUUUAAGGGCACAGCAUGCAAAGCAGUGGAGAAUCAGACUGUGUCAUUUUAAUAUGGAGUCUUAGCUGCAUUUCAUUUCAGUAAUAUUUCACAGGAGGCUUCUAUGACUGACAGGCACCAUAUGAAUAAAAUAUAUGAUCAUUUUAAAAGCAUAACCUGUAGGUUGCUCUCUUGUACUGAGUACAACAUUUGCUACUAACAUUCCUCCUCAGCCACCAAUAAAAUGAAUCAACAAAGCUGCUGGACAUGGUAGUUUUAACACCAGUCUAUAAACUAAACAUGCAAAAGAAGUGCAUAAAAUAUAGGGUAGGGUACAUUUAUACACACGCAUACAUGUAUAUGUGUCGGUCACUCACUGUCACAUAUUCGCAUGGUACAAAAUAUCAAUUCCUUCCUUUUCAAUCAUAUACUUUUAACAAAUGUAAAAAUAAAUCACCAGUAAAAAUAAACAACUCAGCUGCCUACACACUGGACUGUGGUAUGCCUUGCUUGUCAGUAGGUGUCAUGCAACACCACAGUUUUUAAACACCUGGCUUGCACAAAAAUAUAUCCGUUAAAGAGGAUAUUCACCUCCAAAUGGCUUUUGUUUGUUUUAUUUUUAAGUCACAAAUACUCUUAUCUGGGUGAUGAACAAGUGUAAUGUGAGCAUCCACUAAUGAGGGACUGCAUCUAAUUCCUGUCUCUUUGGAUAUGUGGUUGGUGGCAUUUGGGAAGGCAGCAGCAGCCAGCCCAGCAAUGAGCUGGGUAGAGAGGCUAGCAGAGAAGAGAGCCCUUGCUGGAGACACUAAACACAGAGGCACCAAGUUAAUACCUGCUCACCUCUACAUUACCUUUUCUCUCCCCUUUUCUCCCUGUGCUUCAGUAAUCCAAUAAAAGCUCUUUGUUUCUGUCAUAGCUGCAAACACAACUCAGUAAUGUCAUCAUACAGAUCAGCCAGCUCAAUUUUUCUCUAAUCCAUUCAAUAAAAUGGCCAUGCUGUGCUCCCUGCUCCAAUUUAAAACUGAGGAUGAUAGCCUGAAAGAAGUAAAUCCCAGAGAGCUGCUGAUCAGACCUUAGGGUAUCAUUUUGUUUGGUUGCUGUUUUCACAGCUUGGUCAUACACACACUGAACCUGCAAAUAUAGCAAUGAAGCUAAACUAAGUGGGAAGCAAAACCAAAGCUGAAUUUUACAGAAUUUAGGCUGACUGGGGUCCUCAAAGAGCCCAUCAGAUGCUCCAGCUGUGAGUUGAGUGAGUGCCUGGGUGCUCAGGAGGAAGGAAUAGGAUUCAGUCACAUGCUUGGUGUCACACAUGUGAGUGAUUUGGCAGACCACAGGGAUUUAUGGUUCUGUGCCCUAAAAUCUAGAUCAAUACACAGCCCUGAGGGGUUCAAACUGCCCUGAGACAGGACAUUAUAUAUAGCAGCUGCCAUCAGCAGGCAUUUCCAUCCCAGCUCCCUCUGGCUAAUUCCUGGUAACACUUUGAAUGUCUAUUGAUCAGGCAGAAUUUUUUCUAUUUUUCUAAUUUUUUGCAAUUGAAAUCUCAUUUGAUUUGUUGGCAUGAAGAUAUCACCAGUUUUUAAUACAAAGAGAAUGAUUUUUUUUUUCAACAUCUAUAUAGCAGAAAAUUGUUGCAACUCUUUUUUUUUUUAACAGCUCUAAUGCCAAAACAGCUGGGGGAAGCAAUUCUGAAUUUGUCAGACAGAUAGAUAGCCCUCAUUGCAGAGAAGUGUUUUGGAGUGUUCCGGUUAAAAUUGGUUUUCAUUUGCCAGAGUUAAGAGCUGUUGAGAAUUGCACAUGCAGUAAAUAUUUUAACACUGAUAAUGCUGAGCUGGGAGCUGGCAGCAGCUCGCUGUGCUGCUGCUGUGGCUGCGGUCUGGCCAAGUUUGCUGAGGCAUGGGAUGUUGGAGGCCCCCGGGGGUUGUAAGCCGAAGGAGCCAGGUGCAGAGAUCCAGAAGUGAGCCAGAGCCAAAAAAUACCCAAGUCCCCCACAGCACCUGACUUCUCAGACCCCUUCUAAAUCCAGCCCUAGGACAGGGUGGAUUUUUUCUCCCACACGAAGUCAGGCUCCCCAGGGGAGAUGCUAUGCUGGUGUUGGCGGUCAGGUAGCAAAGUACUCUGACAGCAUAUUGAUUUUGCACAAUAUAAGAUACUUCAAGGAAAGAGAGAGAUUUACUGUGGCUGAUGGACAGAAAGGCAGUGUAAUCAGAGAAAAUGGAGUCUACUAGCAGCAUCUUAUUUAUGGUUGUUUAUUGUGAAAACACAGAGCACCAAGAAGGACUGUUAUUUUCUCUUUAAAAGCCCUUGGAACAGUUUCCCAACACCACAUGCAGUAUUGCAGUUAGUGAGCUAUUGGACUAAGUAACUUGGACCAAUGUUUUGUUAACAGAUAUAUAUUGCUAACAGCAGAACUAUUGAUCUGUUGCUUGAUGUGGGGCCAAAUCUUGGUUCUAAUCAGAACCUCUGGGGUAGCUAUAAACUCUGCAAUGCCAUGGCUGUGCCCCCUUCCACAGAAAUCUUCUAAUCUUCAAUUCAUGUUAUUCUUUCUUCAUCCUGUAAACAGACACAGAAAAUUGAUCUAUAGGUCCAACAUCUGGGAGUGAGCAGAAAGAAGAUUUGGAUGGUGAUGAUGUACUUGUCUGUAAGGUUGUCAAUAAAAUCUAUAGAUUGAGAAAUAAAUAUGGAUCAUCUAAACAGCUACAAAGGAGUAGAGAUACAGUGGGGGAGUGGGUGUGAAUGAAAGACAAAUUCAUUCAUGAGAUGUAUUCAAAUAUAUGUCUGCAGAUACACAAUUUCCAUACGUAUUACAAGACUGUAAAAAGACAAGGGUAGAUAUGCAUUUUCAGAGAUAUCCAAUUCUUUAAGUAAGGGGAAAUACGCAAAUCCAGCAAAUAGCUCAGAGCAGCAAAACUAAUGCAAGCUGGUUUCCCAUGGAUUUGUGUCCUGGCUUGACAAUAUAAUAUAUAACAACCUGUGAGCUCCAAAUUACUGUUUCCCGUAUCUGGGAACCUGACAGGGUUUCCUAGCAUCUAAGAAAGGGUUAGGCGAAGCUUGUCUUCAGUGGAGAUGACAGCACAGUAUUUCCUCCUCUUGGCUGCUGAUUUUCAUUAAAUCUGUUGGGAUACAGUGUGACCAAGAUUAUCAAAUAUGUUUGAAAUUAGUCAAGAAGUUGAAAACUUAUUAAUAGCACAUUCACAUCCAUACAUGCACACACGUGCAGCACGUGCUUGGAGAAGCGUGGGCUCAUAGGAAGCCAAGCCUAAAUUAAUAUGUAAAAAGCUCUCUGAUCUAUAAGCUGUUCAUUCCCAGUGUCAAACAAAACAGCAGAAUGUAUUUUAUUAAAAUAUUUUUCAGUCUGUUCCUAAUUUAGAUUCUUGUUCCUUCUAUAGGAGAAAAAAGAGGUGCCCCUCCUAAGAGCAGAACUAGAGGCAAAUGUGGAACCAUUUGUAGAUUUGAAAGCUGGAGGACAAUUACAUUCACGUAGUCCCACAUCCUCACCAAAGAGUAUGUAAACAGGCGAGGUAGUUCCUGCAUGCACGACGCACACUUAGUGCCUUAAGCUGAGCAAGACUUCAUUAAGACUGUACCUGGAGCCUCAUACCCAAUUCUCCUGCCAUGUGGGAGCAAAGAAGAAUUCAACCUGGAAUGGAGUAGACCAGGUCUUGUAGGAUGUUCUGGAAUUUUAACAUUUAUUUUUUGAGGGGACACUAGAAAAGGUUGACGUUUUUAGCUUAUCAGAGUGAAGGUUGGGAGAGAAUAUGGUCAUUAUCUGUAAAAAUAUCAGGGGCAAGUGUGAGCAAGGCAGAAGAACUGUUUAAAUUUAGAGAAUAUUGACAGCCCGAGAGCUCACAGUUUUAAGUCAAUCUUCUAAAAUUAGAGCAGGAGUUGAAAGAAGCUACCUAGUGAACAGAGGAGCUAAUUCCUAGAUCUUCAUUUUAUCACAAGUGGGAGUAAAUGACAAACUCAUGUUAAGAUCUGGCUUAAUGAAAGAUUGCCAGGAAAGUAUUUGACAUAGUGAUAUAUAACUAGAAGAACUUAGACUUUGCCACUCAAGAUGUUCUUCAUCCUCAUGAGGUUCUAAAGGACUUCAUUCAGCAGUUCAGAGGCUAGAAAUCUGAAGCUGAGCUGUACACUAUACUGGAAAAACAAUGUGCCAAAGGGUAGGUCUGCCAUGCAAAGCUACAAUUCAACACUGACAGAGGAUUGGGAUCUACCCAGGAACAAAGGGGAAUUCAGGCCCCUGUCCCUCCACACCACACCAGGUGGCACACAAUGCAAGCCUCCAAGGGAUGACUGUAGUCCCAUCACUGCUCCCACUUAACCUGGCACCGUACCAACUUUAUGGGUUUCUUUGCUCAUACCCUAUUUACCAGGCUUGUAAAAUAUGUAUAGCCUACAAUUGGCAGGAAGAGUUUGACUAGAAAUAUAAUUAAGAGAAUUUUAUACAGCACAGGCGUGGAAACUGUGGAAGGCAUCAGCCAUAAAGCCAGUGCUGUUGGAUAUGCAUCAAUGAUUGUCACUAAGCCACCCAACAGCAUUCCAUGUUGCAUGAGUUUGAUUUCUUUUUCCCAGAUACUGCUGAACAGAUUGGUGGGAGUCUGAAGAGAAGAAAACAGAAAGAUUUAUAUUCUGACUUGCACCCUAGAUGCUGAGCCUCACCUCUCACCAUCUCUCCAGCCUGGGAUGAUUUCUGCAGAUAGGAGUGCAGAACAUCUCUUGGAGGCAGGAACUCAUUGACCACAUGCUGCAGCAGUUGGAGAGCCAUGCCUACUAAUUACUGGCACUCUGCAGCACUUCAUCAACAUUUGCAGUUGCAAGUAAUAAUAAUGAGCCACAGCAUGGGUUAGAUCUCACAACCAGUAGCUUCCUUCCUACUUCUUGGGUUUUUACCCUAGUUUUUUCUUUUCACUUUUUGCUUUUGCACCCUGAUCCCUGGACCCUUCCUAAUCCCUGGACCGUUAACAGUCUCCAGGUUUGACAAAACUUCCAAGUUGGAACAAAGGAAAAUAAAGGCAUUAACCCUGUCUGGAAAUUUGUCUGCAAGAGAUUUCCCCUGAGCCACUCUCACAUAUUUCAAGAAGUAUAUUUAGGUUAAUGUUCCCCAGGGUAUGGCAGGCCUGACUGUGACAGCAUGGGCUGGUGCUACAGGAUAAUUUUCCUAUGUCGGCUGAGGAGGAAGCCCUUGUGGAUUCUAGGCAGAGAAAACUGAUUGUAUGUCCAUCCAUUUUUUGUGGUGUUAACUGUCUGCACUCAGACUAAAAAGAUUGAGAGAAGUGAUGAGGCAAUAGAUGCACCAGAGAGUCAGGGAAGUGUUCUCAAAUGAAUAGAUAUCCAGUGCUUUAAAAUACAUGUGAAUAUUAGAAGAACAGAGGUUUUACACAGUUAUCUUUUCAUUAUGGCCUUCUUUGCAUCUCUUACAUCUCUGCAAGUUCCUCAUAAGCAAGUAGUGUCAGCAAAGGCUGGACAACUUAUAGACAGUCAUGAUGGAUGCUCCAGGGUGGUGCUGCAGUUCUGACCGCCCCUGACAUCUCCCUCCAGAUGCUUCUCUGGUUAUUUCUACUUGACUGACAUCUGUGGUCUGAGACUUAUUGCUAAGGUACUGGACACACCUGUGUGCUGCUCUGGUUUGUGAUGGUGCCACCUUGCUCUGAAGCAGGACACAGUACCAGCACCAAGAGCAGAGUGUGGUGGAUCUCUCACUCCUUUUCUGUAAAUUGUUCCUGUCCCUGGCCACCUUUCCAUCCAAGUGAUUUUGGAGAAGUCAGCUUUCUCAGUAUGCCAGUGAGAACAGUUGUGGGUCCAUCUGGCAAAGCCCGCCAGCAUCACCUCAAGAACCGCCCACAUGUUCCAGCCAUACCUCAAGAAAUCAGAGGUAACAUCAAAAAGUCCAGCUCACAUGGUCUCUUGGCUUGGACUGUACAAAGGGUGGCACCAAAAGAGUUCCUAAGUCCAUACACUGGAUCCUUCCUCACCAGAAAAUGACUUCUGAUUACUUUUCUACAUGGCAGUACAAAUCACCUUCUUUGAAUCCACAGGCCCCCGUAGUCCCUCCUUAGCCAAAUUAACGUAUGCCAGCAGCCAGGAGGCCCACAGAGAUGCUUUCAGAAACAUGUGCUUGGCUUCUAAGACAGGUCCAUGGAGAGCACUAACCUGCCACUGCACAGGAUGAGGCAAAAUACAGCCCAUGUAGACUCCAAAGCCUCGAGUUUAACUGCUCUAUUUUCUGGUACCUACUUUCUUGUUUGUUCUGAUUAAUAUUUAUAAAACCACCACCAGUGCUAAAAUAAUUCCCAGUAUUUUGACUAGCAACUUGCAUUUUCAAGCUUAAGAAGUUAAUGUUGGUCAUAACACAUCAGCCUGAAAGCCUGUGUUGUCUAAUAUCCUGUUCCUGAGAAAAAGCAAGGGAAGAACUCAGCCUUAUAAACUGGUACUGACAUGAAAUAUCCUUCCUGCCUCCAGCAGCUUGGGGACUACACAGGCUGUGCAGGCAGUUUUUGUGUGAAUGAUAAUGUGAUAAAUGCUCUUUAUUUUUAGUCAACCAGCACAUAUAAGAAGCUUUUAGGAUUUUAGUCUACUAAAGUAGGAAGCAAAAAGAUUUUUAGAUGUUAUUUAUUUCUAUAUAGAGAGAAAACUACUGUUUAUGUCCCCCAAUGUAUUCCUAUUUUCUUUUUAUUCUCAAGGUUUUUCCUGCUGGAAAAGCAAAUAUAUCUAUGAGUUAAACAUAUCUUUUUAGUUGAAACUGAUAUGAUGACUUACUGGAAAAAAAAAAUAAGGUAAAAUACUGUCUCAGUUGAGUCUUAUUUUUUUUCAAAAUAAAAUACAUAUUGAUGAAUAUUUGUCAAAUCAGAAUAUGGAUGGUCAACAAACAGGUAAAUAGUGUUAGCUUGCUAGAUGUUUUCCCAUCUCAGAGCCAAGAUUCUUAAUGGCGCCAAAGAGGAGUGUGCCAAAAUUCUGCAACAAGUUUCUAAAAACGUCUGUACCAUGCACAACCUGAAGUCUUAGUGGUCCUACCAAGCCUAAAAAUUAUCCUACAUGCUCUGAGUGUCCUUUCCUGGUGGUUGUCUAUUGAUCUGCUAAAAACACAUGUGCUAUAGCAUAGUUAAGUUGCCCAAUUUAAAAUAUUAGUCAAUCUUCAAUUCCCACUGAUCUCAGUGUUUAGGUUUCCGUGAAAAAGAAAAACCACAAAACAAAACAAGAAAGAUUUGGCUAUCUUUUCAGGAGUCUAGAUGUGGAGACAGAAAAACAGAUACUCAAAUUCUGGCAUCAGAUGUCUGAUGGCAUGUUUGGAGAAUUAGUAAGACUGGAAAGACAAGAAAAAUGGAGAGGAAGUCUUCGCCCAAUAUGAUUGGAAUGUGUCUGCUAGCAAUUAUUAUGUUAUUAUGAUUUCACAAACAAUACAAAUCAACCGAUACACAAAUCUUCGUCAGUGCUAAAUGAAAUGUUAACCACUAUAUUCCAAAUGCUUUAUCACAAGAGACAUUUGGUGACAUCAGAAACUAGUUUUCCUUCCACUCAAUUAUGUCUAUUAACUGAUAAUGUAAACUGAAUCCCUGCCAUGCAUUUUGUAAUGCUGGUCCUCAUUAACUGAGUAAACAGAAAGGCAGCCUCAUUGGCAAGGCAACUCAAGUGACCAGAGAGCAGGGAUCACUCUGGCCAGAGACCAUCCAUCAUCAUGCCUGUGUCAGGGUGUGAAUUUCGCAUGUAAUUAUUGGGCAUUUGGGGUGAGCAAGACCACAGAUGGAGUCUGGAACCAGUAUAACACUUCCACAAAAUCCCACAGCUGUGGCAAGGUGCAAGACUUUUCUUAAUAGGAAGCAUUUUACAGCAUCAGGUAAGUUUCAAUGCCCCAAAAUAUAAAGCAAUUUAUAAAGAAAAAUUACAUAAACACAAAAAGCACAGUGCACACAAACACAAAACCCACUUUUGUUUUCUCCCAUGCAGCAGUGCAAAAUCGGACAAUUAUUCUUCCCUUGAAAGACUUGAAUUAUAAAUUACAUUUCUAGAUCUCGGUAAAUGGGUAACUCUUAUACUCUUGAGUAGUGGACCUGUAUAUAAUACCAAAGUAUUAACUUUGACAUCAUGUAUAAAGUGCUAUCAAACCAAGGACCCACUUUAGAAAAAUAUUUAAGCACAUGCUUAAGUUUAACUACUGCAAUGAACUUGAUAAAAGUGAGCUUAUAUUUAAAUACUUUUGUAGCACAGAUGUUAUAAUGAGUUGAAAAGCAGCCCUGAACUGAAACUGCUUGGACUUCAGAAUGGCUGCAUCCGCUUUGUCUCACUACGGAAUGGUUUGAAUGGCUGAGCAGGGAGUACAGCUGUGCAAAAAUAGCCCUAGCCCCAAAAUCCACCAAACUCAGCUCUGCUGGCCUCUCUCCCCAGUUUGAUAUAAUUGCAUGAGCACAGCUUGAAUCUCUUCUCACUUCUGCAAGUGUAAAUCACAAGUAAAUCCUCUGAAGAGGGGACUGAAUAGUGGAAAACAGGGAGAGAGUGAGCCCAACUCUUCACUCUGUUGGUACUCAGUUAAAAUCAUGGCAACAGUGGAAAAACAAUCCCUA